GUAAGGAAUAUUGGACAAUGGACGCAAGUCUGAUCCAGCCAUGCCGCGUGAAGGAUUAAGGUCCUCUGGAUUGUACACUUCUGUUAUAAGGGACGAAAAAAGGCUUUUCUAAGUCGUCUGACGGUACCUUAUGAAUAAGCACCGGCUAACUCCGUGCCAGCAGCCGCGGUCAUACGGAGGGUGCAAGCGUUAUCCGGAUUCACUGGGUUUAAAGGGUGCGUAGGCGGGCAGGUAAGUCAGUGGUGAAAUCCUAGAGCUUAACUCUAGAACUGCCAUUGAUACUCUCUGUCCUGAAUAUUGUGGAGGUAAGCGGAAGUUGUCAUGUAGCGGUGAAAUGCUUAGAUAUGACAUAGAACACCUAUUGCGAAGGCAGCUUACUACGCAUAUAUUGACGCUGAGGCACGAAAGCGUGGGGAUCAAACAGGAUUAGAAACCCCUGUAGUCC
rnacentral:rRNA from 1 species